GUUCCAAGAGCCGCAUGGCCCAUGGAAGAAAAGGUGGCCUCUACCUGUAAGCUAUCGCCUGAAGAGGGGUUUGCGUCUGAUUAGCUGGUUGGAGGGGUAACGGCCCACCAAGGCGACGAUCAGUAGCCGGUCUGAGAGGAAUGAACGGCCACACUGGAACUGAGACACGGUCCAGACUCCUACGGGAGGCAGCAUG
rnacentral:rRNA from 1 species